UCUUAAUGAUGUGGAAAGGCAAAGAUAGGAGAGGUUGUGUGGAUCGAUACCUGCCACGUGGGCGAGUGGGUAACUCUGGUUAGUGUCCCUGGGGAUUCCUUCUUAACCACGGUCAGGUUAAAAAUAGUCCAGAACUUUCAUUACGUGAAAAUUCUGGAAAAAUAGUCCCAACUACCAAAGGGAAUUAAGAAGUAGGCCUACAGAUUCUCCGCAUGGCCUGAAUGAGGCCCAAGGAGCUAGGCCGCCCUGGAAUUAAACCCUUAGAAGUAGUAUGACCUGUACAAUUUUGUGCCUUUCGUUGUCUGGUCUAGGGGGUAGUACAUACGCCAAGCGUGAUUGGCUUGGUUUAAGCCAUUUCAGGGGAGGUGUCGCCUUUCAUUGUCUGGUCCAGGGGUAAUACACACGGCAAGCUUGAUCAACUUGACGGAGCCGGCUCGGGUAGGGUGUCUAAUGUAAAGGCUCGAAACACCCGACGAUCCGAGAGUGCAUUACUGAUGAUGUGUCCUGGCACAUGAUAAUGAGAGGUUUCGAUUUUCCUAUACAAGCAGCUGGCUUAGGAGCUCAGACUUUAAAUUCUGCAGACUAACCUUUGCCAGCUAAACAUAUAGAUCCACCAGCCCUACACUUAAACCUAAUCCUAAAGUCCAAAAGGGGCAUACACCCCCAUAAAUAGGCAAAUUCCAAGAGGGGUAGUCACCCCCAUAAACCCUAGGCAACUUCCAAGGGGGGCAUACACCCCCACAAACCCUAGGCAUUCCCCGAUUAACUUUUGAUAUUCUGAGAGGGGUAGGAUUCAACAAGGGCAAGUGUGGGACCUGGUUAAUGAAGGCGUGGGCCAGAUCAAAGUGGCAGGGUGAUGUGAAACAGAAUCUCAAGUGAGGAGAUCAGAAAUCACAAGAGGGCUUUUUAGCCCACUGCCCGCAUAAUUUCAACCUAACCUAUCAGUGACACGCUCUUCAUUCUCCCGGCCCCAGAAAGGCCAAUAAGAAAACCCAGAUAUUUUAUUUCACCUAUUAGGUGUUAAAAAAUUCAUAGUUAAAAGAAUGGAGAGGUUCACCAAUCAGCAGCUAAUGUACCUUUAAGGGCUGAGGUGAGCCGGUCUCCUAGCAACAGCCAGGUUUGCAGCAGGUGGACAAUUAGGUUUUAGUAUCACAUUAGUUAAAAGAGGCCCUGCGGGGGGAAGAAGGUGAGGGACGUUUUAACUGGAUAGCAGUACUGUCUGGGUUUAGAGACUCCACAGAAGACCCGAGUGACGGACGAGAGUCGAGUUGGACCUUCCGGUCGGGAAUCACGCUUUUUUGAAGGCAAUUGGUUGGAGUCGAAAUCGCAGACGCAAGAUAAGCAAGACUCCACAGAAGACCCGAGUGACGGACGAGAGUCGAGUUGGACCUUCCGGUCGGGAAUCACGCUUUUUUGAAGGCAAUUGGUUGGAGUCGAAAUCGCAGACGCAAGAUAAGCAGUGAGAAAUUAAAUCGUGUACAGAAAGUACUCCAUAGGUUUUUACCAGGCAACACGUUGAGGGAAGGCGAUCAGGACAUGGGAAGCAAAGUACCAAAGCAGGUUCCGUUUCGGAGCAAUGUCCCAAUGGAUGCGGUCCGGCCGCAGAGGAGGUGGCGCAAAGUCAGCCCAGAGACAGUGGCGUCAGAGAAAGCGAUCAGGACCCUGGAGCCGGCACAAGUGAGGCGACUGCGUGUCAGCUCGGUAGCUCAUUAAACAUGGAAUUGUCAAGUCCCCAACAAGGAGCUGAGAUUGGUGAUGAUGUGGAUGGAACUGCCAGAGGAAGUGGAUGAAGCAGGAACAAUUGUGUAAAGCAGCUGGGAGGUGAAGAUGGAAUGAAGAGGCCAGGAGGGAAAUGGGCCGAACUACAUAUACCUGUCUGGACACGCCUCCUGCUGACUGCUCCUGUGGCUCCUCCCACAGACCCCUGUAUAAAGGCGAUCAAGGUUUGAGCCCGGCCUCUCAGUCUCCAGGAUGUAGUAUGGUGGUCACUCACUGCUUGUUCCUUCUUCCAGUCAAUAAAAGCCGAUA